CACCCCCCAAGCUCUGCUUGAUGUUGGACGGAGCGGAAGUCUGCCCGUCUGAAACUUGUGAGGCGUCCGUCCGUCGAGCACCAGCGUGGCAAGUAUACCUUCGCUGGGAGUGCUUCGACGGUCGACUGCCGCGAACUACCUACAUUAUUUCA
rnacentral:misc_RNA from 1 species